GUUCCUCUGCAGGAUUGUAGCUUUACUCGGGGCUCUGUGUGGAUACUGAUGUUGUCCUACCGGAUUAGGAGUUUUGUUUUAUUUGUAUUUUAUUUUAUCUUUUAAAAAAUAUAUUUAAUUUCAUUGCAUUGCAUUCCAUCGUUAUUUUUACCUUUCGAUGUUUGUUAACUGGCCUAAUAAUACGUAGAAAAUAACCUUUUCGAAGCAGCGAUCCUCUGUCUUUUAACGCCCCGCGCUCACUCCCAUAGGACUUUGCCACGUAAAACGCUUUUUCUUUCUCCCUCCUUGUUCGUUACCUGCGGGGGAGCCCCGAGCGCGAUACAGACGCCGCCUUUCCCCCCACACGUACCGAUCCCCGCCCCUAAACGCCGCCGGCUCCACGCUUCCUUUCGGGUCGGGCCGAGCCCCGCGGGGCGCCUACCCCCGGCACGGCUGUGCCCCCCGCAGCCCUGCUGCCGCCAGCUCCUCGUGGUCUCACUCCGUGCCCAAAUCGCGUUCUUCUGACGUAACGAUUUCCAAUUGCCGUUCCGAGAGCAGUGGCACAAUUUGGCGACUCCGCUGCUGCUCGUCUUGAAGCGUCGGGAUCUCUGCCGGGGGCCGCGCGAUCCAUUCUGUAAAUUGAAGUCUCAUUCGAUCGAUGGGUAAAAAAAAAAAAAAGAAGAAGAAGAAGCGAAUAGAAGCAAACCAAAGCCGCCACAUUGCAGCGGGAGGAUCUCAGGGCUGGCUGAGAACACAUUAUUGAAAUAAUCAUAAUUAUAAUUAAGAAAUGCGGAUGCAGCGGAACACCCUCACACACCCUCACCCUUCCCCCUACCCCGCUCCCCCUUAUUUUGUACUCCUUUUCUCUUUCCUUCUCCCUUUAUCCCACCCAAAAGUACCGCCGGCCCCGCGCAGAUCCCCGCGCAAUGUCCGUCGUUCCCGUCCUGUCCCCGCAGCAGCGUUUGUCCGUUCGCUACGCAAAGGAUCGGCGCUUUUCGAUUGCCUUAGGAAAACGCCGGUCUGUGUGUUACCGACGCAUCGAAUUUAUUGCUAAUUACGACGACAUCGGGAUCGGAAAGUCCCAAAAGACGCUUAUGACCGGGAGGCUGCACUGUUGCCGUCCCAUCGCCACCGUCGGUGUGUUGUAAAGGGUCACAGAUGAGUGCAUUCGGAGGUGCGAACUGCUCUGUUUCAGUCCGGAUUGGAUGGACGCGAGUGCAGCCGGGCGUGCUUAGGGGCUGGCUUUGCGCACUGUCAUCAGUUCCUACGUUUAUCACAGUCGAUGAUAAAACUCAGGGAAGAAAUUAAAGCUUUAUCACAGCGGUGCCUGAGUAGGUGGGAGUCAUCCCGAUGGCUCUGCUUUUCAGCAUUCGUAACAUUGGCAGGGUGUAAACGGUCCUCCAACUCGGAAUGCCCAAUGGUUCUAUGGCUCUAAAUCCACGUGCUGGAAUCUGCACAGUGGCUAUUUCCAAGGCGAAAAAAAAAAAAAAAGAAAAGAAAAAAAAAAGAAAAAAAAAAAGACGUUUGCAUCUUUGAUGAGCCCUGAAUAUAACAGCAUCAGCUAUGCACCAAAACACCUCCGGCAGUUUGUAAGCAGGACUGCAUCUGGGUCUUGCACUGAGCUGCUAUUCAGAACGGCCAAACAGAAGCUGAGGCAUGCACAACUGCAAUAUCUAGCUGUGAAAUAAAGCAAUUUAAAAAUAAAAUUACAAGAAAAAAGCUUUUACUUAUUAGAGAUUUGUGUGUGUUGCUUGCUUUUACUGCAGCCCAGCAGAAACGUGCACGUUCUGUGGGGCAGGGUGGCUGCCCCCUGUGUUUCACACUGGGCUCUGUCAGGUUACAACACCUCUGUGGUGCAGGUGCCGGCAGCUGCGUGGGCACUGAGGCUGUGCAGGAGGAUGGGGAUAGACAGAGGGAAGUGAGGUGGCAGCAGAGGUUCAAACUGAUGUUCUGUUCUUACAUACCACGUAGGGCAAUGCUCUCUCAAGUGGAUUUAUUUCAGCCCGAACCUGGACUCCAAGCUGUACCCUUCAGGUUCUCCCUACAGAAGCAGGCACUGCUCAACUCCCAAGACCCUGCCUCUCGCUGUGCUCCAUUUUCGUAUCUCCUCAGUUUGGCUUUUGAUAGCUUCAACAGAAUUGUUGAAUGACAUUUCCUUCGGUGGGGCUUUUAGAAACAAAUUAGCUUCAUCUCUGCUUGCAAGAAAUAGAAAAACAUAUUUUUCUGGUGCCUGCCUGGAACCAUGUGUGCCUGCGAGGUCCAGAGGGCGACACCUCUUCCACAGCAUUUCCUCUAAUACACCCAUAGAAGAGAAACUAACGGCUGGGAGCUGUGCCUACAAGAAAGCUAAAAACAUUCUGUACAGAAAUACACUGACCGAAGCCAAGUGUUUGUGCUGUAGGAACACAGAGCUGGGUGCAUCUGCAGAGGAGAUCAGAAAGCAAAUAGUUCAACCUGAGCUGUAAAGGGAGCACAGAGGGAUGGGGCAGUGGGCCCCUCACUCAGCAGAAGGAGGGAGAGCUGCCAUGGGUCCAUCCCACUCUUUGCACGAAGGCAGUAUCCAACAGCCCUACAGCCUCACGUUGCUAAAAAGAGCAGCAGUAUAUCUCCGUUGUGGUAUUCAACGUUACGAGGGUUCCCAGUAUCUGUCAGUGAAUAUCAAAAAUAGGCUGUUUAAUGGACUAAAUUAUUUUAUCAGCCCUCUUUUUGGAAGGGAGAAUCCUGCUGAGUAAAGAAGUCAGUAAAGCCUCACCACUGAGGACCUGGCUGCAAUGGGAGUUUUGCUGGAGGAGGGCCCGUAAGAAUUGACCUAUUUAAUUAAAAUGUGACAGCAUGCAUUUUCCUUUACAUCACUACACCCCGGUGUCAGACUUAGGGUCACAGAUCUGUUACAGCUGAGCAAAGUGUCCCAUCUUGGGUCCCCUCUCUUGGUUAAAAAGAAAGCAAAAAGAUGCUCUUAGGGAAAUGCGUUGAUGAUUAAAAAUAAACAUAAUGGUCUAAAUGAACACUACCGACAGUAUUAAAAAGGAUGGCUUAAUUAUGUUGGUUGAUGUCAGUUAAUCAUUUUGGGGCCAUCCAGAUCUAAACCAGGGUAAUUUAUUGACUGCAAUAAAAACUGGACUUGUGCCAUAUUAUUCAAGAAAAACAAUACACUGCAAAAACAAUACGGAGAAGAGGUAAUUUGUACAGAGUUCAUGAGACAAUUAUAUAUCAUCUAAGCACAAAACUGACUCACUAUGCCCUUGGCUCCAUUUAUUAUGAGAGGUUUGAAGGAUGUGCUGAACAUACUGAGAGUCCAGGAAUUUUAACUGAAAUCCUGCCUGUACACCCAAGUAGGCACCCAGGGACUGGUGUGACCCAGCACACAGACCAGGGAAGCGUUCCUGGAUUCAGGACUCAGGACACUACUUCAUUAUUCGGUGCUGUUUUGCUUAGGGGUGCCUUGAAACUCCAUCAAUAAUAUCAUUGGAAAACUUUGAUGAAGAAUUCAAGACCAAAACAAACAAACAAACCAACCCAACCAUUUGAAGAAUUAAUGACUGGUUUGAAAUCCUGAACGGCAGUCUGAAAGCUGCCUAAACGUUACUUGCUUCUCUGGCACUUCUGCUGGUGCAGAGCUUCUCUGGAGCAAUCUGAAGGGGACGCCUGUAUGCGAGCAGAUGCAUUCCUUGUUUAAACAGAGCAAAUACGCUGCGGUGCCUGAACUGUACUGUGGAAGUUGGGCUGUGCCCAUCGAAGCCCAGAAAUGACCUGGACCAAAACAAAAGCAAGUUGCUGAAUUAUUCUUCAAAUUGCCAAGUCAUAUCUGCACUGCAACCUUCUGAAGUAUUGUUGGAUGCUUUUCCUUGAACUUUUCAAGCUAUUUAAGGAAUGUACAAAUAUUUUCUUUGUUGAUUAUGUAAAAAAUAUCAUUAAAUGAAGCUUUUUCCCCCCC